rnacentral:rRNA from 1 species
GACGAACGCUGGCGGCGUGCCUAAUACAUGCAAGUCGAGCGAGUCUGCCUUGAAGAUCGGAGUGCUUGCACUCUGUGAAACAAGAUACAGGCUAGCGGCGGACGGGUGAGUAACACGUGGGUAACCUGCCCAAGAGAUCGGGAUAACACCUGGAAACAGAUGCUAAUACCGGAUAACAACAGAUGAUGCCUAUCAACUGUUUAAAAGAUGGUUCUGCUAUCACUCUUGGAUGGACCUGCGGUGCAUUAGCUAGUUGGUAGGGUAACGGCCUACCAAGGCGAUGAUGCAUAGCCGAGUUGAGAGACUGAUCGGCCACAUUGGGACUGAGACACGGCCCAAACUCCUACGGGAGGCAGCAGUAGGGAAUCUUCCACAAUGGACGCAAGUCUGAUGGAGCAACGCCGCGUGAGUGAAGAAGGGGUUCGGCUCGUAAAGCUCUGUUGUUGGUGAAGAAGGACAGGGGUAGUAACUGACCUUUGUUUGACGGUAAUCAAUUAGAAAGUCACGGCUAACUACGUG